rnacentral:rRNA from 1 species
AUUGAACGCUGGCGGCAGGCCUAACACAUGCAAGUCGAGCGGAUGAAGGGGGCUUGCUCCUGGAUUCAGCGGCGGACGGGUGAGUAAUGCCUAGGAAUCUGCCUGGUAGUGGGGGAUAACGUCCGGAAACGGGCGCUAAUACCGCAUACGUCCUGAGGGAGAAAGUGGGGGAUCUUCGGACCUCACGCUAUCAGAUGAGCCUAGGUCGGAUUAGCUAGUUGGUGGGGUAAAGGCCUACCAGGGCGACGAUCCGUAACUGGUCUGAGAGGAUGAUCAGUCACACUGGAACUGAGACACGGUCCAGACUCCUACGGGAGGCAGCAGUGGGGAAUAUUGGACAAAGGGCGAAAGCCUGAUCCAGCCAUGCCGCGUGUGUGAAGAAGGUCUUCGGAUUGUAAAGCACUUUAAGUUGGGAGGAAGGGCAGUAAGUUAAUACCUUGCUGUUUUGACGUUACCAACAGAAUAAGCACCGGCUAACUUCGUG